CUCACUGGCUUCUCUGGAGCUCCGCAGCAUGUUUCACCUCAGUUCGGUUGGCUUAUCAGCCCGUGGAGGAGAUCAGGCUUUUAGUUUCAAACAGAAACGGAUUUGUUUCUGCUAUUUUCCUUCCUGAUUUAUAAAAUGUCCAUUUUACCCACUCAGCUGUUUGGUUUGAUUGAUCUGACUUCAUUGAUGUGUUUGGACAACUGCGUCUCGGUGGUGCAGACACCAUUUAAAGGUUCCAGCAGGGACAAUAGGACAAGAGAGGUCCACUCCAAGGCCUUGCAAACUAGAGGGAGGAGAGGUAGAGACGGUGUGAGGAAUCAUGAUGGCACCGCAAAACAAGAGUCUUCUGCGUCACCACGGGGUUGACCUCAACACCUCCACCGGCUGAACCCACUAACCCACUGGCCCACCAGGAAAUCCCCGGUUUUCCCCUAUGCCAGUCCAUCCCUGGGUAUAAGAGAUUGCUGCAAAGUCAUCAUCACAAUGCAAGUGGCUGUCCACUGUCACUGCAUGCUGAUCCUGGCAUGUAGUAACAGGAGAAA